ensembl:lncRNA
AUCUACAUUCCAAAGAUAAAAUCCAACACAAAUCUGCGAAUAUAUUCAGAUGUUAACUGAUGGACUGGAGUGCUGUGGAUUACUUGUGGAUUAUUGUGAUGUUUUUAUCAGCUGUUUGGACUCUCAUUCUGACGGCACCCAUUCACUGCAGAGCAUCCAUUGCUGAGACACUGAUGCAGUGCUACCUUUCUACAAAUCUGAUGAAGAAACAAACUCAUCUAUAUCUCGGAUGUCCUGAGGGUGAGCACAUUUCCAGUAAAUUAUAAUUUUUGGGAAACUACUUCUUUAAAUAACCUACUCAGAUCCUGCAGCUUCCUACGAGUAAUUAUGAUAUUACGGCUUCGUUCAUGAGCACAAACACAAUCAUUCCGGCAUGACUUGAAGGCAGAAGUUUCUCCAAACAACAACAGCAGCUGAUUUUCCGCAGGAUUUCUCAAACAUGGUAACAUUUUCAUCAUAUCUUCAAAACAAAAUUCAUGUGCGUAUUAUAAACACGAAGCUCUCAGAUGAGCAGCUCUGUCUAGUUAUCUUGGAAUCUGCAGGAAAGGUUAAUCACAACCUGGUUAUCCAGUCAUGACUGUGUCUUAAUUAGAAAAUCCCAAGGAUACCGACUGCUUCAUAUGCAUUUCAUUAACAAGCGCCUGUGCAUUUUAAGACAUUCUGGAUUAAUGAAAGAAUCAGUGUCACAGCUUUGGUGGCAACAGAACAUCUUGUCACUGCGGUGGUCUGACAAACAAAUGGAGAUUAGUUACUGUAACCAUAAGAGUAGCAGCAGACAAAAGCUAAAACGCUUAUUUCAGAUGGGAUUAUGGGGAAAUAUAUUUCAUUAUAGACCAUGGAGAACAUUUACCAUGAAAAUGUGAUUUGUAGCAGGAUCUGUAUUGUUUAUUCAAAAGUGGAGCUAUAAUAAUAGUCAAAUAUAAAGUGGCACUUUUAAUUAUUACCUGGCAUCAACAGCAAUACAUUAAAAUGCUCAAGUUAAUAGAUAAUAAUAAUAUUUAUCAAACUAUUUUGAAUAGGUUUUCUAUAUGUACAUGUUAUAAAAAUUCUGAACUAAAUAUUGUACACAAUGUAAAAAUAUAAUAAAUAAAAUGCAAGUCUAAUAAAUAUAAGUUC